rnacentral:lncRNA from 13 species
GGGAAUAACAGAGACCAUCUUGUAUACCUUUGUAUUUCUACACUUAGAGCAAGCUCUGUACACAAGAUUCAAACCUGCAUUAGCAGCAGCAGCCAUUUCCCUGUGGACCAACCCAUCUUCAUCCAGGGAAGGCUGGGACACUUGCCAUGCUUCAAAGGAGUCACAGGCUUUCCAAAAGGAGCGGGAACAGCAGAAUGUUUUGCAUUUGUGAUUUAUUCUCCAAUCGUGACUGAUUCAUUAC